GAGAGAGAAACCAAAUAACUUUUUCUCUCCCUCUCUCGCUUAUCUUUUCUCUCUUUCUCCCUCACCAGCUUAUCAAAUCCACUUCUUCCUCUGUAAAUCUUAAUUUCAACACAUGGUAGACCGAUAUCCAUUUUGAUUUUGGUAUUAGGGUUCCUUAUUUUCGUCGGCUGUUUUUCUGUUCUUCUCAAUCCCUUUGUAUAAUUAAACAAAUCUAGGGUUUUAGUUUUGAAGAAGAAUGUUUGGAAUUCCUUUCGUAGUUUGUAAGAAUCAGUAACAAACCCCCAAAUUCUUACUCUCUUUUAUGAAUUUUUUUGCUCAUUUUUUAUCAGAUCUGAGGUUUCUUUCAUUCGCUGCAAUUUAUUUGUAUUGAAUCGCAUAAUUAUGUGUAAGUUAUUUUUAUUUUGGGUGAUUCAGGUCUUAGAAUCGACUGUGAAUGAAGUUGAUGAGUCUGGGGUUUUGAUUAGCGUUCUAGUUCUUCUCAAAUUUAUAAAUUUUCUCAAGUAGCUAUGGUUGAACUUCAUUCAGGGUUCUCGUGAGGAAGGUGUGGUGGUGGUGAUGAAACAAAAGAGUAAUUUGGUUCAAAUGAAACAUCUGAGUUUGGUCUCGUUCGUUAAUGGAAUCGAGAUGUUGAAACAAGAGGCAAUCUUAAACAAGAGACCAACUGAAUUGCACAUUAAGUGUUAGGGGAAAAGCCUGAAAGAAAAGGGGUAAAAGUUCUUAUUAUAUUCUCUCUAUCAGUAAUGGUAUGGAUGAUUUGUCGGUAGGUAGAACUCGUAUAUUAGGUUUCACUACAAUAUCAUAGUUAUUUUAAUUAAAUAUCUAGGAUAAGUUGUAGACAUCAGUAGUGUUUUCUGUUUGACUUUUGAUUGGUUUCAGGGUUUUGUAAUUCGGUUGAUUGAUUUGGAUCCAAUUAUCUUGUAUUAGAUCUUUGUGACCGCUUCCUAUUUAUAUUUCAUCGGAUGUCUGUCUUGGGGUAUGAACUUAAAGUAUGCCUUCAGCUGUGAUAAAUGAUUGUGCUUUGAAA